GUCGUAACAAGGUUUCCGUAGGUGAACCUGCGGAAGGAUCAUUGUUGAUACCUCUAAAAUAGACCGUGAACAUGUUCACCAAAUGGGAUUGUGGCGGUCACGUCGCAAUCCACUCCCGCAUGCGUGCAUCUAGGUGCGUGUUGUGCGGGCUAACAAACCCCGGCGCGGCAUGCGCCAAGGAGAACUCACAGAAGCAUCCUCCUUCCUCCACACCAUUUGUGGUGCGUGGCGGUGGGCUAAGGAUGUCUCUCGAAUGUCAAAAUGACUCUCGGCAACGGAUAUCUCGGCUCUCGCAUCGAUGAAGAACGUAGCGAAAUGCGAUACUUGGUGUGAAUUGCAGAAUCCCGUGAACCAUCGAGUCUUUGAACGCAAGUUGCGCCCGAAGCCUUCUGGUUAAGGGCACGUCUGCCUGGGCGUCACACAUUGCGUCGCCCCCUCAUCCUUAUGGGGUGGGGGCGGAAAAUGACCUCCCGUGCGCCGUGAUGUGCGGUUGGUGCAAAUUUGAACCCGCGGCGACUCACGUCACGACCAGUGGUGGUUGAACAAUCAACUCGCGUACAGUCGUGUCACAUGAUGUUGCUUGUCGGGGCAUGUUGUAGACCCAAUGGCGCAAGUUGCUUGUGCUAUCGAUCGCGACCCCA
rnacentral:sRNA from 1 species